rnacentral:lncRNA from 1 species
GUAAGCAAAUGUAUUAAUUUUAAGUAGGCCUAUGCUUCUUUAGCCUGGUUAACACCAGACCGAAUCUCAAAUAAGAUAUGGUGUGGGAACUGAGCAACGUGAGAAGCCAUAGCAGGGACGGGGGUAAACUACUUCGUGCAAAUGUAAAACAGUGAGCUCGCUAGAAUUCGGUCUGGUAGUAACCAGGCUAAUGCUUCCUAUGCCUUCAGCUAGAUAGAUAGACAGACAGUCUUAGUCUCAGGUUAUGGAUGAACUCCGGCGGAUCCUCGAUCGAGGAUACCUGAACUGAACUUUUACAACAAGGCACAGUUUUAUGGAGUGUUCAAAAAGGUCAUGAAGCCACCGCUGCUGGACAAAGUGAAGCACUCAAUCGCCAUGAUGAAGGCUUUACCAGAUAUGUUCCCACCACCUGUGGCUACACCAAAGAAGUUAGGACAUGCAAAUGAGGCUAUGCUUCACAUCCUUGUCUGCAGAAGACCCCAACACCUUUCUUCAGGUGAGACCACUCUUCAGCCCUGUCAUGAUUGUCUGUGAAACCAACUGCGUACUGGAACCAUGCCUGUGGUGACCAUGCCUGUGGUGACCUUCACAAAAGAGGACAUCUGUGCCAGCGUGACGAAUCUCAUGGCGUGUUAUUACGCCUUUCACCUCACAUAUCCCAAGUGCAUUGCGACACUCUUCUCUGUGCUGCAGACAGAAGUCCUCUCGGACGCCAUCCAUGACCGGGACAUGACUUCUUCAUAUAAAAAGGCUAUGGCCGAGUGGAAAAGGUUCAUUACUGACUAGGGUUGCACAAUACAAUUUUUUUAUUUCUAGUCCCAAUAACAGAACUGUGUGUAUUGGCCCAUCCGAGAACCGAUUUGAUAGCCUUUAAUAGAUAGGCAGGGCGUUUGUUGCUUAUUAUAAUGAGGUUUGUUAUCUUCCCAUUGGUCUUACAUUUUCACCUUGACCACCAAUGGCCUUUGUUGUUGUUUUUGCAUCCUUUGUUCUGCCCAUAUCAGCCUCUGGAUAUACUGAGUCCUCAAUAAAGAAGUGAAAAGAAAUUAGAUUCUUUCUUUAAUAACCUCUUGACGGUCGCCUAGGAUAGGGGGCGCUACAGCGAUUUUUGAAAAAAAUACGUGCCCAUUUUAAACGGCCUCCUACUCAAACUCAGAAGCUAGGAUAUACAUAUAAUUAAUAGAUGUGGAUAG